GCUCCAUCCCCGGGGAGCGCGCGUGCGCUGAGAGGUGGGUUUCGCGCCCCACGACCCGUCGAACCUGAACCCGUUAGCACGGGCGGAGGGAGGGUCGCCGCCAAGCGC
rnacentral:ncRNA from 2 species